rnacentral:rRNA from 1 species
CGGCGAACGGGUGAGUAACACGUGAGCAACCUGCCCUAGGCUUUGGGAUAACCCCGGGAAACCGGGGCUAAUACCGAAUAUGACUUCUGGUCGCAUGACCGGUGGUGGAAAGUUUUUCGGCCUGGGAUGGGCUCGCGGCCUAUCAGCUUGUUGGUGGGGUGAUGGCCUACCAAGGCGACGACGGGUAGCCGGCCUGAGAGGGCGACCGGCCACACUGGGACUGAGACACGGCCCAGACUCCUACGGGAGGCAGCAGUGGGGAAUAUUGCACAAUGGGCGGAAGCCUGAUGCAGCGACGCCGCGUGAGGGAUGACGGCCUUCGGGUUGUAAACCUCUUUCAGCAGGGACGAAGCGUAAGUGACGGUACCUGCAGAAGAAGCGCCGGCCAACUACGUGCCAGCAGCCGCGGUAAGACGUAGGGCGCGAGCGUUGUCCGGAUUUAUUGGGCGUAAAGAGCUCGUAGGCGGCUUGUCGCGUCGACUGUGAAAACCCGCAGCUCA